AAUAAAUGGACUCAGGAAGGAAUAAAACCCAAGGUGUCCUCUUCACCAGCAUCAUUCAGAACCACCUCACUCCUCAGGGGCCACAGAAGUGCUGAAUAAAAUGAAAAGACACACGAUCCAGAUGGUGACCCUGUAAAGCCACCACCUGCUUGCAAGCCUGUCUCUGUGCUUCUGCUGAGAAACAGAAUGCCAUUUCCCUUAGUGCCUGUCUUGUAAAUAAUCACCGCUCCCCAACCAGCCAUUCCCCAAAUGACAAGAACCAUCCUGUGGCCUUCUCCGCUCCCCAGCCUGGCCUGGCCUCAUUGUGCCUUGGAACUCUGUCCUCCUGCCUCACUCAAAAGGUACAUGAUUUGUAUCUUACUCCCACAACAGCGUGAUCCGAUGUCA
rnacentral:lncRNA from 1 species